GGCCCUGGUGCCAUAUACUGAAACUGGCACAGUGCAGGGAGAUUAGCAUGGCCCCUGUGCAAAGGUGACACACAAAUUUGGGAAGCGGUCUGUAUUUUU
rnacentral:snRNA from 1 species